rnacentral:tRNA from 1 species
GGGGUGUAGCUCAGUGGUAGAGUAUUUGCUCAGCACAUGUGAGCUCUGGGUUCCAGCCCCAGCACCACCA